GCUACCUUAUAUACCCAGAGGGAGAGGCUAAAGCCCAGCAUUGGUAAAAGGCGAAGGAUGCACCCAAAACAAGAAAACCUGUGAGGUGUUGGCCCCAUUAGCCCCAUCACUCCCUAUUUAUCAACAUACGUGCACAUGUGCACACACACACAUCCUCAGAGUUUUCAGUUUUUACUGAUCUAUCAAUUUCAGUGCCAUCUCUAGGGUUGAGUGUGAUGGGAGAGGUAGCCACUAGUGUGAGUUUACAAUCUUGUUCAGUUCCUAAGUUUAAAUUCACACAGCUAAGAGUGAAUUUAGAGUUUGCCUCCUAAGGUAGGUAAUUGCAAAACUGACCUG
rnacentral:lncRNA from 1 species